rfam:Pteropus alecto contig7938, whole genome shotgun sequence.
GGCUCCAUAGUGUAGUGUUUAGCACGUCUGCUUUACACGCAGAAGGUCCUGUGUUUGCGCCCCAGGUGGAGCCA